rnacentral:rRNA from 1 species
UCUGUUUGAUCCUGGCUCAGAACGUACGCUGGCGGCACGCCUAACACAUGCAAGUCGAACGAAGUAGCAAUACUUAGUGGCAGACGGGUGAGUAACAUGUGGGUAUCUACCCUUUGGCCUGGAAUAACACGAGGAAACUUGUGCUAAUACCGGAUAAGUCUUUACGGAGAAAGCUUUAUGCACCAUUGGAUGAGCCCGCACUUGAUUAGUUUGUUGGUAGGGUAAUGGCCUACCAAGACUAUGAUCAAUAGCUGAUUUGAGAGGAUGAUCAGCCACAUUGGGACUGAGACACGGCCCAAACUCCUACGGGAGGCAGCAGUGGGGAAUCUUGCACAAUGGAGGAAACUCUGAUGCAGCGAUGCCGCGUGAGUGAAGAAGGCCUUUGGGUUGUAAAGCUCUUUCGUCGGGGAAGAAAAUGACUGUACCCGAAUAAGAAGGUCCGGCUAACUUCGUGCCAGCAGCCGCGGUAAUACGAAGGGACCUAGCGUAGUUCGGAAUUACUGGGCUUAAAGAGUUCGUAGGUGGUUGAAAAAGUUGGUGGUGAAAUCCCAGAGCUUAACUCUGGAACUGCCAUCAAAACUUUUCAGCUAGAGUAUGAUAGAGGAAAGCAGAAUUUCUAGUGUAGAGGUGAAAUUCGUAGAUAUUAGAAAGAAUACCAAUUGCGAAGGCAGCUUUCUGGAUCAUUACUGACACUGAGGAACGAAAGCAUGGGUAGCGAAGAGGAUUAGAUACCCUCGUAGUCCAUGCCGUAAACGAUGUGUGUUAGACGUUGGAAAUUUAUUUUCAGUGUCGCAGGGAAACCGAUAAACACACCGCCUGGGGAGUACGACCGCAAGGUUAAAACUCAAAUGAAUUGACGGGGACCCGCACAAGCGGUGGAGCAUGUGGUUUAAUUCGAUGCAACGCGAAGAACCUUACCUACACUUGACAUGUUGAGAAGUUACUAGAGAUAGUUUCGUGCCUUCGGGAACUCAAACACAGGUGCUGCAUGGCUGUCGUCAGCUCGUGUCGUGAGAUGUUGGGUUAA